rnacentral:rRNA from 1 species
GGAUCAUUGCUGGAUUCUCAGGGCUUCGGCCCUGACCCAGACACCCUAUGUGAACUUAUACCUUAUAUCGUUGCCUCGGCGCCGUGCCGGGCCUCUUUGUCGAGGCCCCCUCUGGCUACCUCACCGUAGACAGAGGAGCAGGCCCGCCGGCGGCCCACCGAACUCUCUGUUUUUAUAACGUAUCUCUUCUGAGUUUUUACAAACAAAAAAAUGAAUCAAAACUUUCAACAACGGAUCUCUUGGUUCUGGCAUCGAUGAAGAACGCAGCGAAAUGCGAUAAGUAAUGUGAAUUGCAGAAUUCAGUGAAUCAUCGAAUCUUUGAACGCACAUUGCGCCCGCUGGAAUUCCGGCGGGCAUGCCUGUUCGAGCGUCAUUUCAACCCUCAAGCCUCGCUUGGUGUUGGGGCGCUUCCCGUCAAAAGGAAGGCCCUGAAAUUGAAUGGCGGGCUCGCUAAGACUCUGAGCGUAGUAAUAUUACCACCUCGCUUUGGCAGAAUUAGCGGUGCUCUUGCCGUAAAACCCCCCAAUUUUUUGAAAAUUUGACCUCGGAUCAGGUAGGAAUACCCGCUGAACUUAAGCAUAUCAAUAAGCGGAGGAAAAGAAACCAACAGGGAUUGCCCUAGUAACGGCGAGUGAAGCGGCAACAGCUCAAAUUUGAAAUCUGGCCUCGGCCCGAGUUGUAAUUUGCAGAGGAUGUUUCUGGCGCGGUGCCUUCCGAGUUCCCUGGAACGGGACGCCACAGAGGGUGAGAGCCCCGUAUGGUUGGACACCAAGCCUGUGUGAAACUCCUUCGACGAGUCGAGUAGUUUGGGAAUGCUGCUCAAAAUGGGAGGUAAAUCUCUUCUAAAGCUAAAUACCGGCCAGAGACCGAUAGCGCACAAGUAGAGUGAUCGAAAGAUGAAAAGCACCUUGAAAAGGGGGUUAAACAGUACGUGAAAUUGUUGAAAGGGAAGCACUUGUGACCAGACUUGUGCCGGGCGGCUCAUCCGGGGUUCUCCCCGGUGCACUCCGCCCGGUAUAGGCCAGCAUCGGUUCUCUCUGGGGGAUAAGAACGGUGGGAACGUGGCCCUCCCUCGGGAGGGUGUUAUAGCCCGCCGUACGAUACCCUGGAGGGGACCGAGGU